rnacentral:piRNA from 1 species
UUGUGAAAACCACCGCUAAUUCAAAUCC